GUGCCAGCAGCCGCGGUAAUACGUAGGGUCCAAGCGUUAUUCGGAAUUACUGGGCGUAAAGCGUGCGUAGGCGGUUAUUUAAGUUAGGUGCGAAAUCCUGCGGCUCAACCGUAUGGACUGUGCCUAAAACUAUUUAACUAGAGCAUAGUAGAGGCAAGUGGAACUUGCGGUGUAGGAGUGACAUCCGUAGAUAUCGCAAAGAACACCAAUGGCGAAGGCAGCUUGCUGGGCUAUUGCUGACGCUCAGGCACGAAAGCGUGGGGAGCGAACGGGAUUAGAUACCCCGGUAGUCCACGCCGUAAACGAUGAUCACUAGCAGUAUGGAGAUUCGACCCUCUGUGUUGCACAGCUAACGCGUUAAGUGAUCCGCCUGGGGAGUACGGGCGCAAGCUUAAA
rnacentral:rRNA from 1 species